rnacentral:lncRNA from 1 species
CUGCACGACCUGUACUUCAGUCACCAGACACUCCUCCAGGCCGGCUUUGCCCGCCUCCCAGACCACCUGCAGAGACGAGAGGAGGCAGGGGUCACACUGGAAACAAGCGACGCUCGCGGACGCCCUCGAGGGCUCACCUUCUGCAGAUCACGAAGACACAGACCAGGGCCAGCAGCGUCCCCAGCGCGAUCAGCAGCGACGUCCGCCAGAGACCGGGUUUCACCGUGUUAGCCGGGAUGGUCUCGAUCUCCUGACCUUGUGAUCCGCCCGCCUCGGUCUUUAUUACAAGGCCCAGGGGGUGUCUGUCAGUGGGACGACCUUGUUUCCCCUCCACGUCUCCUCUCGAUUGAGUAGCUGGAAGGAGGUUCUGUCUCUGACCUGUGGUUUGAAAGAAAAUAAAGAAGAGGGGCCAGAUACUUCAAAUUACUUCUCCUAUGCAUUUGGAGAGCGGGAGAGAAAAACACCAGGAAGGAAGAGGGAACAAAGAAACUCUACAGGCAGAGACACAGGACUGAGCCGCGUUGGGGGCACUGGGAGGAGUGAGCCUUGGGGUUGCACCCUCGGAGCCCCACUGUCCUGGGAGCAGCCUUCAGAACCACCCUUUUGUUCUCUGAAGUACCAGGCGUUCAGCUUUUCCAAGGACUGGCAGCUGCACAUCUUUGUCCCUGCCCCUUCCAUCUCUAGGCUCAGCCCCGCUGGGCAGCCUGGCCCACUCCCCACCCCUGCCCAGGGCCAACCCCUACUUCCCAUGCCCCCUCUGCCCACCUGCAGCACACUGGAGCCUUGGAGGCCCUCUCUGCAUCAUUCAAGAUGCAGACUCCUACACUUUGACCUGCACACAUCCUCCUGAAGCUUCCACUUCCUGGCCCCUGCCUGGCUUCUCACCUCCCCCACCUCCGCCCCCCAGGGGAUGUGCCGCCUCUCCCAGUGGCCCAGGACAUCCUCCACUUCCCGGGAACCCCAGGCACUUCCACAUCCUCAGACACAGUGAGAAGAUGACCCUCUCUCCAAGCCAGGAAGAGACCUCCCGAGGAGCCCAGCCAGCCAGCACGCUGACCUCCAACGUCCAGCCUCUGGAAAUGGGAUACCGAAGGCUGCGCUCCUGCCCCGCACCAGGAUGUGGGAACUUUGAGAACCGCUGGAGAGUCGAGAGAUGUCAUCGAAACGACACCCGAUACGUGUUCCCUGAGCAUCCGUUUUGUAGUGAAGACACUCGUACUGUUGACGCCUGCUGCGGUAAGCGGAGACAGGGCAGGGCGAUCAGGAGCAGCGUGAGCCAAAGGAGGACCAUCGGGAACGCAGCUCCGGAACGCAGGACAGAGGUGCCUGCUGCAGGAGAAACGAGAGUCAGGCAGCGGGGACUGGCUGUGAAACUGGGUUGCGGGUAAUGAAGGAUGCUUGCCCCUUCCAGAGCCUGGUGCUCACAGCAGAAGGAGCUGCUUCUGGAGGGAAAGCGGUGAACAUUGUCACGACCCCAAAAGGAGACUCCAGACCCAUUAAAGACCCGUCCUUCCUCUUCCCCAGCCUGUGGCAACCACUCAUCCACUUUCUGUCUCUGUGGAUUUGCCUGUAUCUGGACAUAGGGAAUAAAUGGAAUCAUACAGACACUAUGUAUCUUUUUGUAUCUGGCCUCUCUCAGGAAGCAUGAUGUCCUCAGCAUUCACCCACAUUGCCACCUGUGGCAGAGCCUCGUUCCUUUUCAUGGCUGUGUAAUAUUCCACCGUGUGGCUGGACCACAUUAUAUUUCUCCAUUCAUCUAUAGAUGGGUAUGAGGACUCUCUCCACCUCUUGGCUAGUGUGAAUAAAGCUGCUUAUUCCUUUUCAUGGCUGUGUAAUAUUCCACCGUGUGGCUGGACCACAUUAUAUUUCUCCAUUCAUCUAUAGAUGGGGUAUGAGGGCUGUCUCCACCUCUUGGCUAUUGUGAAUAAAGCUGCUUGUUCCUUUUCAUGGCUGUGUAAUAUUCCACUGUGUGGAUGGACAUUAUAUUUUUCCAUUCAUCUAUAGAUGGGUAUGAGGGCUGUCUCCACCUCUUGGCUAUUGUGAAUAAAGCUGCUUGUUCCUUUUCAUGGCUGUGUAAUAUUCCACUGUGUGGAUGGACAUUAUAUUUCUCCCUUCAUCUAUAGAUGGGGGUAUGAGGGCUGUCUCCACCUCUUGGCUAUUGUGAAUAAAGCUGCUUGUUCCUUUUCAUGGCUGUAUAAUAUUCCACUGUGUGUCUGGACCACAUUAUAUUUCUCCAUUCAUCUAUAGAUGGGUACGAGGGCUGUCUCCACCUCUUGGCUAUUGUGAAUAAAGCUGCUUGUUCCUUUUCAUGGCUGUAUAAUAUUCCACUGUGUGGCUGGACCACAUUAUAUUUCUCCAUUCAUCUAUAGAUGGGUAUGAGGGCUGUCUCCACCUCUUGGCUAUUGUGAAUAAAGCUGCUUGUUCCUUUUCAUGGCUGUGUAAUAUUCCACUGUGUGGCUGGACCACAUUAUAUUUAUCCAUUCGUCUAUAGAUGGGUAUGAGGGCUGUCUCCACCUCUUGGCUAUUGUGAAUAAAGCUGCUUGUUCCUUUUCAUGGCUGUGUAAUAUUCCACCGUGUGGCUGGACCACAUUAUAUUUAUCCAUUCGUCUAUAGAUGGGUAUGAGGGCUGUCUCCACCUCUUGGCUAUUGUGAAUAAAGCUGCUUGUUCCUUUUCA